AUUGAACGCUGGCGGCAGGCCUAACACAUGCAAGUCGAACGAGAGGCGGAAGGGUGAGGAAUGUCUGGGAAACUGCCCGAUGGAGGGGGAGAACGACUGGAAACGGUAGCUAAUACAGCAUAGCGUCGGGUGUGCCCAGCUGUGAUUAGCUUGUAGGGGGGGUAACGGGCCACCUAGGCGACGGGCCCUAGCUGGUCUGGGCGGAUGACCAGCCACACUGGAAUGGAGACACGGUCAAGACUCCGAAGGGAGGCAGCAGUGGGGAAUAUUGCGCAAUGGGCGCAAGCCUUGCGCAGCCAGGCCGCGUGUAUGAAGAAGGCCUUCGGGUUGUAAAGUCCUUUCAGCGGGGAGGCGUUACUCGCAGAAGAAGCACCGGCUAACUCCGUGCCAGCCGCCGCGGUAAUUC
rnacentral:rRNA from 1 species